UUCUAGACACGGGCGUUCCAAACGGUUUCAUUUCUUUCCACUCACUCUGUCACAUCGAUUUGCAGACCGCAGAACAGUCCCAGAAGACCCGAGAGAUAGUUUUGGGCACCCUAAAAUAAUGCCUGGAUUAGUGGGAGCAGACUCACUGCCCCUACGCAGGCAGAUUUUAAACCCUCAGCUUGGCUUUGCUGAAGAGGUCUGGAGGUUGGAUUUGACGGCUCUAGUACAAGCUGUUCUAAGAAUCCAUCUCGGAGGGACUCCACAAACUCCCUUUCUUGGGGUCCAGUACCAGCCUGUUUCCUCCAGUCUACCUGCAUGUUGAAAGGUGCCCAAAGAAAGAGUAAAACUGUGAUGUGAUUUAACAGGUACAUGAGUAAUUACCCCAGUUGUAACUAGCUAACUUCCUGGAUUUCCUUUGAUCAACUGACAGUGUCCUAAGAAAACAACUCUGCUGUUAGCAUCUGUGUUUCUUCAUCAGGCCACGGCUUCCCUCACAAUCCUUCUAAUGUUAACUCUGUACCUCCUGUGACACAACGUUUGUCAUGACCAACAUAUGCAACAAGAUUUCUCACGAAGGUUCAUCAAGUGAUUGAGCAACUUCAGGGACUGAGAAAGUUGGCUGCAAACGGUGGCAGAGUUUAACUGUCAGGAAAUUGCGCUUCAUGUAUUUUUUCGUCUUAUUUCUUUUUCUCUAUAAGAUAUACACAAGGAGAAAUUCUCCCAAAGUUUAAACAAAUGACCAAGUAUUGACUAACUUGAGAGUUAAGUGCACUCUGCGCUUUUAAUACAUGGCAAAGAAUGAUGGAUAAAAUUGUGGAAACAGAAGAAAAUUAUCCAGUGCAACACAACAUUUGUUCAGAAAUGGAAAAUUAUAUUCUAGUAAAAUACAUUGUGGUGUAUACCAAAUUUCUGAAGAAUUCAGGAGGCCAGGAAACAUUUGCCAAGCAAGAGUCAGUAUUUUGAACCAAGGACCUUCCAUCAGAAUUGGAAAAACAGGAAGUUUUAAGUUGCAAAGUCCUGUACAGUGGAGAGAAGGUUUAAUGACUGUGAUCGGGUGCAGACCAAGGUUGCUAUUAGAACUAUUACUAAAAAAAACAGUUAAUAGAGCAGUUUGAGAGGGAGAAGCAUAACUCACAUCUAUCAGUAUCACAAUGGAAUAAAAGGAAUUACAGAGGUACGAGAGGGGAGAUUGCCCACGUGGAUUGGAGGAGGAUACAGGCAGGGAUGACAGCAGAGCAGAGAUGGCUGAGGUUUCUGGGAAUAGGUCACAAGGCACCGGAUAGUUAUGUCCCACGGAGGAAGAAGUUCUCAAAUGGCAGGGGCAGGCAACUGUGGCUGACAAAGGAAGUUAAGGACUGCAUAAAAGCCAAGGAAAGGGCAUAUAAGGUAGCAAAAGUUAGUGGGAAGUUGGAUAAUUGGGAAGCUGUUAAAAUCCUACAAAAGGCAAUGAAAAAAGCUAUAUGAAGGAAAAGAUGAAAUAUGAGGGUAAACUAGCCAAUAAUAUAAAGAAGGUUACAAGAAGUAUUUUUCAGCCAUAUAAAGAGUAAAACAGAGGUAAGAGUUGAUAUUCACUCACUGGAAAAUGAUGCCGGUGGGGUUGUAAUGGGGACAAAGAAAUGGCAGAUGAACUUAAUAGGAACUUUGCAUCUGUCUUCACUGUGGAAGACACAAGCAGUGUGUCAGAGGUGCAUGAGUGACAGUGGGCAGGAGGGCGUGCAAUUACUAUUACAAAGGAAAAAGUGUCAGGCAAGCUCAAAGUUCUUGUGGUAGAUAAGUCACGUGGGUCAGAUGGAGCACAUCCUAGAGUCCUGAAAGAGGUUGCAGAAGAGAUAGCAGAUGCAUUGGUCAUGAACCUUCAAGUCUCACAUGAUUCUAGCAUGGUCCCAGAGGACUGGAAGAGUGGAAAUGUCACUCCACCCUUUAAGACCAUAAGACCUUAAAACCAUAAGAUAUAGGAGAGGCAGUAGGCCUUUUGGCCCAUCGAGUCUGCUCCACCAUUCAAUCAUGGGCUGAUCUAAUUCUCCAAUUCUUCUAGUCAUCCCCACUCCCCUGCCUUCUCCCCAUGCCCUUUGAUGGCCUGGCUAAUCAAGAACCUAUCUAUCUCUGCCUUAAAUACACCCAAUGAAGUGGCCUCCACAGCUGCUCGUGGCAGCAAAUUCCACAGAUUUACCACCCUCUGACGAAAGUAAUUUCUCCACAUUUCAGUUCUAAAUGGACAUCUUUCAAUCCUGAAUUCGUGCCCUCUUCUCCUAGAUUCCCUUAACAUGUGAAAUAACUUUGCCAUAUCUAAUCUGUUCGGGCCUUUUAACAUUCGAAAUGUUUCUAUGAGAUACCCUCUCAUUCUCCUGAAAUCCGGGGAACACACACAAGAGCUGCCAGAUGCUUCUCAUACGGUAAGCCUUUCAUUGGUUCUCGUAUAUCUUCUCUGAACAGUCUCCAAUGUCAGUAUAUCCUUCCUAGCAGCUCCUCCCGUGGAGGGUUUGACACCCUGAGCCAAUAGGCUGGUCCUGGACUUAUUUUCUAUCUGGCAUAGUCUGUAUUUUGUUGUUUGAUUGUUUGUGGUUUUUGCAUUGUUAUAUUUAUGCUCGAUUCUUGGUUGGUGCAGUUGUAACGAAACCCAAUUUCCCUCGAGAUCAAUAAAGUAUAUCUAUCUAUCUGUCUAUCUAUCUAUCUAAAUAAGGAGCCCAAAACUGCACACAAAACU